GGUCCAGCCAGCACAGCAGUACU
rnacentral:siRNA from 1 species